CAGUCGAACGAUGAAGCUUAGCUUGCUAGGUGGAUUAGUGGCGAACGGGUGAGUAACACGUAGGUAAUCUGCCCUGCACUUUGGGAUAAGCCUGGGAAACUGGGUCUAAUACCGAAUAGGACACACUAUCUUUACGGUGGUGUGUGGAAAGCUUUUGCGGUGUGGGAUGAGCCUGCGGCCUAUCAGCUUGUUGGUGGGGUAAUGGCCUACCAAGGCGUCGACGGGUAGCCGGCCUGAGAGGGUGUACGGCCACAUUGGGACUGAGACACGGCCCAGACUCCUACGGGAGGCAGCAGUGGGGAAUAUUGCACAAUGGGCGAAAGCCUGAUGCAGCGACGCCGCGUGGGGGAUGAAGGCCUUCGGGUUGUAAACUCCUUUCGCUAGGGACGAAGAGUUACAUUGACGGUACCUGGAGAAGAAGCACCGGCUAACUACGUGCCAGCAGCCGCGGUAAUACGUAGGGUGCGAGCGUUGUCCGGAAUUACUGGGCGUAAAGAGCUCGUAGGUGGUUUGUCGCGUCGUCUGUGAAAUCCCGGGGCUUAACUCCGGGCGUGCAGGCGAUACGGGCAUAACUUGAGUGCUGUAGGGGAGACUGGAAUUCCUGGUGUAGCGGUGAAAUGCGCAGAUAUCAGGAGGAACACCAAUGGCGAAGGCAGGUCUCUGGGCAGUAACUGACGCUGAGGAGCGAAAGCAUGGGUAGCGAACAGGAUUAGAUACCCUGGUAGUCCAUGCCGUAAACGGUGGGCGCUAGGUGUAGGGGACUUCCACGUCUUCUGUGCCGCAGCUAACGCAUUAAGCGCCCCGCCUGGGGAGUACGGCCGCAAGGCUAAAACUCAAAGGAAUUGACGGGG
rnacentral:rRNA from 1 species